GACGAACGCUGGCGGCGCGCUUAACACAUGCAAGUCGAACGGAAAGGCCUGCUUUCCCUUGUGGAUUGCGGGUACUCGAGUGGCGAACGGGUGAGUAACACGUGAGUGAUCUGCCCCCAACUUGGGUAUAAGCCUGGGAAACUGGGUCUAAUUCCCGAUAGGACUGCAGGGUGGUGCCUGUGGUGGAAAACGAUUUUCUAGUGGUUGGGGAUGAGCUCGCGGCCUAUCAGCUUGUUGGUGGGGUAAUGGCCUACCAAGGCGGCGACGGGUAGCCGGCCUGAGAGGGUGGACGGCCACAUUGGGACUGGGAUACGGCCCAGACUCCUACGGGAGGCAGCAGUGGGGAAUAUUGAACAAUGGGCGGAAGCCUGAUGCAGCGACGCCGCGUGGGGGAUGACGGACUUCGGGUUGUAAACUCCUUUCGACCGCGAGGAAGCCACCUGGUUGGAAGGGUGGUGACGGUAGUGGUAGAAGAAGCACCGGCUAACUACGUG
rnacentral:rRNA from 1 species